CGGCAACGCUGUCAGGCUGGUACAUUUCAUUAACCGCAGUGCAUCGCAAUUAAUGCGGAACGCUUAACUAUUAACGAGACUGCUUUCGAGUAUUAAUACAAAUUACGCGAAACAAUCUUCUCUGUCGAUAAACCGUCGCGCUGCUAUUGACCGCGCGUGCGCCGUGAAUCCGACUGACGAUCAAUUCGACGAGACAAUUUGUCUGCUCGUUAAAAUUCCCUCCGACACGGGACGCGGCGAAUUACACACGGUUUUCUGGCGAUCAAAUGCGAAAACAGAAACACAGUGGCAAGAAUCAUGCGAUGAUGUGGAAUCGUCGACGUCGCGACCUUCUGCGUUCGCGUAUUGCUCUGGAUGAAAGAAUCACCGCGCAAUGAUGUCUCGUGGAGAACAACGAGCGGACAACAGCCGUGAGAAGAGAAACGCGAUGACGUUCUGCGAUUCCAUUGUACGCUCGGUCUCGGUAAUGAUACCAGUUUUGUGCAACGCGUCGAUACGGUGCGUGUUCACGCGCGACUACGCGUCAAAAUGCGUGUGCAAGCUACGCGCCUGUGUUGUCGAUCGUUUGUAUACACAAGAGGGACGAUGUUGUUAGGAUUGAGAGGGAGGGGAUGAAAAAGAGGUACGUAGUGGGAAAAUCAGGGAAAAAAGGGUAACGGCGAGGCGCGAAAUCAAAGCGAAACAGAGAACGAGACGGAACAAGGGAGAGGCAAACAAAGGGCCAUUGAGUGAGAGGGAAUAAAGAAUAGAGAAAUGCAGGAACGAAGAGAGAAGAAGAGGGAAGAGAGGGUUGACAGACGCGUUGAUAUCAUUAUAAACGAGCAGACGACCGGAUCUCCACUCAAUUUGUUUGAUAUCCCUACCACGUAACAGUGGUGAACCCCUGAAAACCAAGUGCGCUGUCUGGUCUUCCGUCCUACCAUUUUGUCAUCGUAACACGUCCUCUGGAAUCUUCCCGAUUAUUCGUAAGACGAGGAGCCCAAUGAGAAAAGCUCGUGCGCCUGUACUAGUAGAAAGAUUUUCUGAGCUACGAUCUUCUUACUCUACAUAGCUAGGAUGGUCUGUCGGUGAAUAAAGCUUAAGUGCUGACGAGAGUAACGAUCACUUAAAAAUCGUGAUUUGCACGUUCAACCCUCGAUACCAGCUUGCCGGUCCUGCGAUCUCUUCCUUCCUACUGUCACCGGUCUACUGGAUAUUUAAGCGUAUCAUCCGCUUCGUCGAGCUGUUGCACGUGGGAUCUUUCACUGGGACGCGUUCUAUCCGGAAGCUGGUAAUGAAUAAUCCGUUUGGGGAGAAUAGAGUAUGAGACGAAUCUCGUAGAUGGUGUUUUCGAUGGUUAUGUCAGGGAAGAAGGUAUUUGCGUAUUUGAUAAGAGAAAUCUGAUAUGUAAUAGAUAUUUUAGAUUUUCAGAGAUAGGAUGUAUUCUGUCCCGUUUUUGUAUUCCUUUCCUGAUACUUAAUCUUGUUAAUUUUGAAAAUUAGACUUUAAAAGACAGAGUUUGUCGAUUAAUUUAGUUGAUGGAAUAACAUGUAAUAAAUUAAUUCAACGAAUUAAUGAUACAAAAGAUUGAAAGAUUUAAAGAUCCAGAUGUACAAUAGGAAGAAGAUCGACCAGCAUCCUAUUCGCAACUUCCUGUCUCGGCAAUAACACUAUGCAAUUCCAGUCUAGAACCGGGUAUAAGAUGAACCAUACGUUCCCGACCGAUGGACUAUUUCGAAGACAACUACAACGACGAUAAAGAUCGCAUCGCAGCUUCUCCUACAUGGUUGUCCCUGAAAGUACCCUCGACGAGGACUACGAUGGAGACUAAACCCAGGAGAGGAAAAGAGCGAGAACGUAUAAGGUGGAAGAGGAUAGGCGGCGUAAAAACGAAGUAAAUAAGGGGUAUCCCGGUGUGUUCGGUGACGGUGUUAUCAGAUGCCGGUCAUGUAAACCGAUUCUAGAGAUAAAAGUCCGGCGUCCACCAGACCGGCGUCGUUCAGAGACCGCGUGGACACGCUUCUGCACACGUAGACCUAGCUGCAGGUGCACAACACUGACACGUACGUCAGCCCGCGUAACACGAAAUGAAUGAUGAUUCAUGCGGCACGCGAGCGAUUUCACGUCGUGUUCCCGUAUUCUUUGCCGAGCUAACGGCAGGAGUAAGUGGGGAAUAAUACGUAGUCAUUUGGUCUACGUGCAACAGGGAUCUAACGCUGUAGCUCAAUCGAUACGUCCUUGCAUGUCGCGUAUACGUGAGCUCCCUAACCUUGUAUAGGGUUGAUUCUCUCUUUAUCCUUGUUUUCUUCUUCCGUUCUACAUCCCCUUCCUCUUCCUCCUUCGUCUUGUUCUUCUUUAUGCUUUCUUUUUCCAUAUAUUUCUAUCUUGAUCGAUCGUUCUCUUGUUUUGAUAGGACGAACGUGUUCCUUUCGUGUGCUUGACAGCUUCACAAUUUUCCACGAAACGAUCGUUCUCCCGUUGGUCGUCACGUGAACAUACCGCAACGCGGCUACGCCGAUUGUAAUUAUUACGUUUAAUACCUGACUUCUGACUCGACACGGAAGCGGUAGCCCGCCGUUACCAUCACGAAGAGACGCGCAUGAUUGACGUCCCAACGCCAUUCCCGGCUCACGUUACACCUACCAACGCGACUCGAAAGUUUCGACGCAUCUUCGUGGGAUUUGCGGCGAGCCGGCGAGUAAUCUGUCAUUCAAAGUAUUUGUAGAAUGGUCGGUACGUGUACUCGUCUCGUUAUUGUCUACAUCGCGACUCUCGCAAGGGGUGAAUUGCUAAAUCAUUGAGCUCUGACGUUGCAAGAAAGGUACCUCUGUAAUGAUCGUGGUCAUUUACGUUUUCCCUAGAGAAUCCGAGACUCUUCGCUCCUGUUGGUUAGAAAAUUUUCUAUCACGAAGUUAUUUUUGCUACUUGUAACGAGUUUAUGACAUUUUAUUACAUUUUUUUGUUUAUACUUUUAUGUGACUUUUCUUUGAAAACGUGUAAUACAGAAAUUUGUAUGUCCUUGCGAAAAAUAGUAAUAUGAAACCUAAAAAACGUCGAAGAAUAAUGUUGUAAAAUAUCGUUGCACUGACAAGUUAAAAGGAACUUUAAACGUUGAAGUUUUAUAAUUUUACCAUGUAUUUGAAAUGUUUUGAUAUUAUUAGACAAUUUAAUCCAAUUUCUCUUAUAACGGUACAUAUAAAUAGAUUAUACAGGUCGAAAUUGCGAUAUGAGUUCGAUACGAAUGGUACGUGUGGUUAUAAAAACAGUAGAAAGGUAAUACAUUUUAAUUCUACGAAAGCAUAAAAAGUCCCACUUCUUUUAAUAUGGAAUAUGGGACUGGGUGCCAAGGUAUUAAUAUAUUGUAUGAUAGCUAAUUUUGCCGCCGUGUCAACUACGAUAAUAUAAUAUUAAUAGCGAGAAUAAUUACACUCGACAAUUCCAGACCUUAACAACGAUUUAAAGCGCCAGACUUGGUCUUGGUCUUGGUUGCUUUCAAACUAUUGCGACAAUUUUCAUACUACAUACAUAUAUGUAUUAGGUAUGCAAUAAAUAUAUUAACUUCAUUGCUAAUUAAUUCAAACAAGUAAUUAUUUCAGAAUAUUAGAAUACGUUUAGUCAUAAUAAAAUUUUCCCCGAAUGAUCGAAUUAAAAAUCUCGUAAAAACGGUGAGGAAUUCGAGAAUAGUUUAAAAAUAUAUAACAACCUCGCCAUAAAAUUAGCCAUGAAAUUAAAUUUCGUUUCCUCUUCAGAUUGAAAUUACUGCAACAUAAAAAAUAAAGAAAUUCCGCAGGUUUGAAAUUAUUGUUGUAGUUACUGUAAUUCAAUGCACAGGACCCAAAGCUCGUAUUUUACUUCCAGCAAGCCCAUUCGAGCGAGGCUCGACAACCAACGAGCCAUCGUUUCCCCCCGCAAUGCCAUGGACGCGUAGGGACAGAUCUUAAAUAAUAAAUUCAGACCGAAAAAGCGCGGACCUGCGGACGAAUUAACAGUCGCAUUUAUAUUUCACAGUAAAAUUUUCGUAGCUAGUGGCUGGCAUCACGACACGCCGCGCCGUCGCGACAAAUGAGAAAUUAAAUGCGAGCAAACGCGUGAGCCCAUUGAAUUACCGUGAAUUACGGCGCGAUAUUAGCAGAAAUAUCAAAAUCAUUUGCUUUUGUGACACGUCGUGUGUUAAUGCAGGUUAAGCAUCGCGUUUGGAACGAUAAAAGAAUUUCAUACGUGAAAUAACGUUUGUCAAGGACGAUGUUCGUGCGGGUCUGAUGCAGACGAGCGAUAUGAUGUUGGGCUGCGAUUUCGUAGCGAUGACAUCGUACAAUUUGGUAGGUUUAUGUUUCUAAUAAUACUACGAAGCGUUAACGCGAGACAGAUGUAGCGAGAUUACAAGUUAAAUGGCUAAGUUAUGAACCAAUUGUAUAGAAGUAUGUACACUUUUACGGUACCUUUCAUUUUUAAUAAACUUUCAAUGCUUGACACAUUAUAAAUUUCAAAUCGCAUGUAUUUUUUACUAAACAUCAUACGAUUGAUAUAUCAGUAUUUUAUAUGUAUAUUAUUUACCAUAUACAGUAUCAAAUCAAAUGAUCUUUUAAUAGUUAUUUAAAUUUUUCUCAUUUUAAAGCAAAUAUAGAAACCGUUCUAAGACUUUGGAGCGAAAGGAUACUUUCUCGGAUUAGAAAUCAGAAGACUUUUUGAAUUUCGAACUUAGUCUGAGUUUUUACAGUUUCAGGUUACUAUAUGACAUACGGUAGCGUUGCGUCGCUUGCCUGCAUUGAACCUAAACUAACCAUGAACGUUUUCGUCAUACCGGAAGUUUGCUGCAUAGCGUUACGAAGCAUCUAGUUCUUGAAACUUGAACUGGCGUGUGAAAAGCGUGUAAUGAUACAAAUAGUAGGUAUUAUUUAAUUUAACUAGUAUAAAAAUAAUUAACACUGAAAAAACAGCAUUUCAACUGAAUUUGUGCUUGCAAUUAAGAUACGAUUAGUCGAUGGUCUACCUGCGUUAAUUGAUUACGUGUGUUUGUUGCGCUCUUACGCCAUGGCAGGGGAGUGUUUUCUCGGUUCGGAACGUUAAUUCGUUUCGAAGUGAAAAAUUACUCAUUGAA